UCACUGGCAGUUACAUUCAGUAGCGUCUCUUUUUUGUGUGCAUUAUUUUGGGGAAUUUUUAUUAAAAAUAUAAAAAUAAUGCUGCACAAAACAAAGCUAUAAAUCUUCAACUAUCACAGAAAUUUAUUUCAAAAAGAGCGAAACAUUCUGCUUAAGAUAUCGACGUGACAGCUAACACAAGGAUUGCAGUGGAUUGAAAGCAGGAAUAUGCAUUUUAUUCAAUACCAGAGGCUGUUUGCAGAUCCACUCUUCAUUAUGCAAAAACCCUUGUCACACAGACAGCAGUUUUUGACAGUGGCCUGGUCUGUGUCUGUUUUGAGAUGGAGAAGGUGAGAAAAUGUCCAGACUGGACAGACAUCAGACUCUUUCUGCUGGAGGUGCUGGGAGGCGCAUCCUGGAAAUUAGAAGGGAUAUGAGAUUUGAGCUCCAGGUUUAAUACAGGAUGACGUAAGUGGGUUAACU